rnacentral:sRNA from 1 species
CCCUAGCCCCGAUUGAAACGGAAAUCCUUGUUGUUUUUGCUGCCAAAAACAACAAGAUUGCAGAGUAAAGCGGGAAAUAGC